rnacentral:rRNA from 1 species
GACGUAGGGCGCGAGCGUUGUCCGGAUUUAUUGGGCGUAAAGAGCUCGUAGGCGGCUUGUCGCGUCGUCCGUGAAAACCCACGGCUUAACUGUGGGCUUGCGGUCGAUACGGGCAGGCUGGAGUUCGGUAGGGGAGACUGGAAUUCCUGGUGUAGCGGUGAAAUGCGCAGAUAUCAGGAGGAACACCGGUGGCGAAGGCGGGUCACUGGCCCGGUACUGACGCUGAGGCGCGAAAGCUAGGGGAGCAAACGGG